ensembl:lncRNA
UGUGUGCCACUGCCACAACACGUCUGGUGUGUGUGUGUGUGUGUGUGUUUGUGUGUGUGUCACUGCCGCUAUGUCUCGUGUUGCUAUGUCUCGUGUUGCUAUGGUGUUGCUAUGUCUCGUGUUGCUAUGUCUCGUGUUGCUAUGUCUCGUUGCUAUGUCUCGUGUUGCUAUGUCUCGUGUUGCUAUGUCUCGUGUUGCUAUCGUGUUGCUAUGUCUCGUGUUGCUAUCGUGUUGCUAUGUAUCGUGUUGCUAUGUCUCGUGUUGCUAUCGUGUUGCUAUGUAUCGUGUUGCUAUGUCUCGUGUUGCUAUCGUGUUGCUAUGUCUCGUGUUGCUAUGUCUCGUGUUGCUAUGUCUCAUGUUGCUAUCGUGUUGCUAUGUCUCGUGUUGCUAUGUCUCGUCUUGCUAUCGUGUUGCUAUGUAUCGUGUUGCUAUGUCUCAUGUUGCUAUGUCUCGUGUUGCUAUCGUGUUGCUAUGUAUCGUGUUGCUAUGUCUUGUGUUGCUAUGUCUCGUGUUGCUAUGGCUCAUGUUGCUAUCGUGUUGCUAUGUCUCGUGUUGCUAUGUAUCGUGUUGCUAUGUCUCGUCUUGCUAUCGUGUUGCUAUGUAUCGUGUUGCUAUGUCUCAUGUCGCUAUCGUGUUGCUAUGUCUCGUGUUGCUAUCGUGUUGUUAUGUCUCGUGUUGCUAUCGCGUUGCUAUGUAUCGUGUUGCUAUGUCUCGUGUUGCUAUCGUGUUGCUAUGUCUCGUGUUGCUAUGUCUCGUGUUGUUAUGUCUCGUGUUGCUAUGUCUCGUGUUGCUAUGUCUCGUGUUGCUAUCGUGUUGCUAUGUCUCGUGUUGCUAUCGUGUUGCUAUGUCUCGUGUUGCUAUGUCUCGUGUUGCUAUGUCUCGUGUUGCUAUCGUGUUGCUAUGUCUCGUGUUGCUAUCGUGUUGCUAUGUAUCGUGUUGCUAUGUCUCGUGUUGCUAUCGUGUUGCUAUGUAUCGUGUUGCUAUGUCUCGUGUUGCUAUCGUGUUGCUAUGUCUCGUGUUGCUAUGUAUCGUGUUGCUAUGUCUCGUGUUGCUAUCGUGUUGCUAUGUCUCGUGUUGCUAUGUAUCGUGUUGCUAUGUCUCGUGUUGCUAUCGUGUUGCUAUGUCUCGUGUUGCUAUGUAUCGUGUUGCUAUGUCUCGUGUUGCUAUCGUGUUGCUAUGUCUCGUUGCUAUGUCUUGUGUUGUUAUGUCUCGUCUUGCGCUUUUUGCGCUUCAGCUGUUUUCCUGUGUUAGGAAAGUCGACUCACUAGUUUUCAUCAUAAACAUCCCUGCCAAUAUUAUUUAUGAAAGAAACCUUAUUGGCACUAUCCCUGUCUCAUGGAGAUUUGUAGUUUUUCAUAUGCCCAAAGUCAUCGACCUGUCCUGUCUAGGUUAACAUCCAAAUAAAUGAAUCUCCUGUCAAAAUGUUUGAAAUUGUCUUCGUCAAUAACCCUUGAAACUUUGCAAGGGACAUCAUUACACAUCCCCUACAUGUCCCCCACAUGUCCCUUACACGUCCCCUACUCGUCUGCCAUUAGAGGACAUAACCACUCACACCAUCCUCACAUGGAAACACCGCUCAGCAGGGGCGGCCCUAGCACAUUUGGC